rnacentral:tRNA from 1 species
GUGGCCAUAGCCGAGAGGCGAGGCGGCGGACUGCAACUCCGCACACGGGGGUUCAAAUCCCUCUGGCCACU